rnacentral:rRNA from 1 species
UACGAAGGGGGCUAGCGUUGCUCGGAAUCACUGGGCGUAAAGCGCACGUAGGCGGAUUGCUAAGUCAGGGGUGAAAUCCUGGAGCUCAACUCCAGAACUGCCUUUGAUACUGGCGAUCUUGAGUCCGGGAGAGGUGAGUGGAACUGCGAGUGUAGAGGUGAAAUUCGUAGAUAUUCGCAAGAACACCAGUGGCGAAGGCGGCCCACUGGCUCGAUACUGACGCUGAGGUGCGAAAGCGUGGGGAGCAAACAGG